GACGAACGCUGGCGGCGUGCUUAACACAUGCAAGUCGAACGGAAAGGCCCUGCUUUUGUGGGGUGCUCGAGUGGCGAACGGGUGAGUAACACGUGAGUAACCUGCCCUUGACUUUGGGAUAACUUCAGGAAACUGGGGCUAAUACCGGAUAGGAGCUCCUGCUGCAUGGUGGGGGUUGGAAAGUUUCGGCGGUUGGGGAUGGACUCGCGGCUUAUCAGCUUGUUGGUGGGGUAGUGGCUUACCAAGGCUUUGACGGGUAGCCGGCCUGAGAGGGUGACCGGGCACAUUGGGACUGAGAUACGGCCCAGACUCGUACGGGAGGCAGAAGUGGGGAAUAUGGCACAAUGGGCGGAAGCCUGAUGCAGCAACGCCGCGUGCGGGAUGACGGCCUUCGGGGUGUAAACCGCUGUCGCCUGUGACGAAGCGUUAGUGACGGUAAUGGGUAAAGAAGCACCGGCUAACUACGUG
rnacentral:rRNA from 1 species